rnacentral:rRNA from 1 species
UAAGAGCGAAUGGUGGAUGCCUUGACUGGUAAAGGCGAUGAAGGACGUACUAGACUGCGAUAAGCUACGGGGAGCUGUCAAGAAGCUUUGAUCCGUAGAUUUCCGAAUGGGGCAACCCAAUGUAUAGAGAUAUACAUUACCUAUAUAGGAGCGAACGAGGGGAAUUGAAACAUCUUAGUACCCUCAGGAAAAGAAAUCAAUAGAGAUUGCGUCAGUAGCGGCGAGCGAAAGCGCAAGAGGGCAAACCCAGUGCUUGCACUGGGGGUUGUAGGACUGCAAUGUGCAAGAGGUGAGUUUAGCAGAACAUUCUGGAAAGUAUAGCCAUAGAGGGUGAUAGUCCCGUAUGCGAAAAACAAACCUUAGCUAGCAGUAUCCUGAGUAGGGCGGGACACGAGAAAUCCUGUCUGAAGCUGGGUCGACCACGAUCCAACCCUAAAUACUAAUACCAGAUCGAUAGUGCACAAGUACCGUGAGGGAAAGGUGAAAAGAACUGAGGUGAUCAGAGUGAAAUAGAACCUGAAACCAUUUGCUUACAAUCAUUCAGAGCCCUAUGUAGCAAUACAGGGUGAUGGACUGCCUUUUGCAUAAUGAGCCUGCGAGUUGUGGUGUCUGGCAAGGUUAAGCAAACGCGAAGCCGUAGCGAAAGCGAGUCUGAAUAGGGCGCUUAGUCAGAUGCUGCAGACCCGAAACGAAGUGAUCUAUCCAUGAGCAAGUUGAAGCUAGUGUAAGAACUAGUGGAGGACUGAACCCAUAGGCGUUGAAAAGCCCCGGGAUGACUUGUGGAUAGGGGUGAAAGGCCAAUCAAACUUCGUGAUAGCUGGUUCUCUCCGAAAUAUAUUUAGGUAUAGCGUUGUGUCGUAAUAUAAGGGGGUAGAGCACUGAAUGGGCUAGGGCAUACACCAAUGUACCAAACCCUAUCAAACUCCGAAUACCUUAUAUGUAAUCACAGCAGUCAGGCGGCGAGUGAUAAAAUCCGUCGUCAAGAGGGAAACAACCCAGACUACCAGCUAAGGUCCCUAAAUCUUACUUAAGUGGAAAACGAUGUGAAGUUACUUAAACAACCAGGAGGUUGGCUUAGAAGCAGCCAUCCUUUAAAGAAAGCGUAAUAGCUCACUGGUCUAGUGAUUUUGCGCGGAAAAUAUAACGGGGCUAAAGUAAGUACCGAAGCUGUAGACUUGCACACAACUUAGAUUAUUUAAGUUUAGAAUAUGAGAAACUAAGUUAUAUGUUUAGUUAUAUUUUUACUGAUUUUUAUAGAGUAAAGAUAGAAAUAAAACUUAGUAAAAUCAGUAAAAAUAUUCUUAGACUAAAGUUAAGUAGUUUAAGUUGUGUGCAAGUGGUAGGAGAGCGUUCUAUUUGCGUCGAAGGUAUACCGGUAAGGAGUGCUGGAGCGAAUAGAAGUGAGCAUGCAGGCAUGAGUAGCGAUAAUUAAUGUGAGAAUCAUUAACGCCGUAAACCCAAGGUUUCCUACGCGAUGCUCGUCAUCGUAGGGUUAGUCGGGUCCUAAGUCGAGUCCGAAAGGGGUAGACGAUGGCAAAUUGGUUAAUAUUCCAAUACCAACAUUAGUGUGCGAUGGAAGGACGCUUAGGGCUAAGGGGGCUAGCGGAUGGAAGUGCUAGUCUAAGGUCGUAGGAGGUUAUACAGGCAAAUCCGUAUAACAAUACUCCGAGAACUGAAAGGCUUUUUGAAGUCUUCGGAUGGAUAGAAGAACCCCUGAUGCCGUCGAGCCAAGAAAAGUUUCUAAGUUUAGCUAAUGUUGCCCGUACCGUAAACCGACACAGGUGGGUGGGAUGAGUAUUCUAAGGCGCGUGGAAGAACUCUCUUUAAGGAACUCUGCAAAAUAGCACCGUAUCUUCGGUAUAAGGUGUGGUUAGCUUUGUAUUAGGAUUUACUCCGAAAGCAAGGAAACUUACAACAAAGAGUCCCUCCCGACUGUUUACCAAAAACACAGCACUCUGCUAACUCGUAAGAGGAUGUAUAGGGUGUGACGCCUGCCCGGUGCUCGAAGGUUAAUUGAUGGGGUUAGCAUUAGCGAAGCUCUUGAUCGAAGCCCGAGUAAACGGCGGCCGUAACUAUAACGGUCCUAAGGUAGCGAAAUUCCUUGUCGGUUAAAUACCGACCUGCAUGAAUGGCGUAACGAGAUGGGAGCUGUCUCAAAGAGGGAUCCAGUGAAAUUGUAGUGGAGGUGAAAAUUCCUCCUACCCGCGGCAAGACGGAAAGACCCCGUGGACCUUUACUACAGCUUGACACUGCUAUUUGGAUAAGAAUGUGCAGGAUAGGUGGGAGGCUUUGAGUAUAUGACGCCAGUUGUAUAUGAGCCAUUGUUGAGAUACCACUCUUUCUUAUUUGGGUAGCUAACCAGCUUGAGUUAUCCUCAAGUGGGACAAUGUCUGGUGGGUAGUUUGACUGGGGCGGUCGCCUCCCAAAUAAUAACGGAGGCUUACAAAGGUUGGCUCAGAACGGUUGGAAAUCGUUCGUAGAGUAUAAAGGUAUAAGCCAGCUUAACUGCAAGACAUACAAGUCAAGCAGAGACGAAAGUCGGUCUUAGUGAUCCGGUGGUUCUGUGUGGAAGGGCCAUCGCUCAAAGGAUAAAAGGUACCCCGGGGAUAACAGGCUGAUCUCCCCCAAGAGCUCACAUCGACGGGGAGGUUUGGCACCUCGAUGUCGGCUCAUCGCAUCCUGGGGCUGGAGCAGGUCCCAAGGGUAUGGCUGUUCGCCAUUUAAAGCGGUACGCGAGCUGGGUUCAGAACGUCGUGAGACAGUUCGGUCCCUAUCUGCCGUGGGCGUAAGAAGAUUGAAGAGAUUUGACCCUAGUACGAGAGGACCGGGUUGAACAAACCACUGGUGUAGCUGUUGUUCUGCCAAGAGCAUCGCAGCGUAGCUAAGUUUGGAAAGGAUAAACGCUGAAAGCAUCUAAGCGUGAAGCCAACUCUAAGAUGAAUCUUCUCUAAGCUCUCUAGAAGACUACUAGUUUGAUAGGCUGGGUGUGUAAUGGAUGAAAGUCCUUUAGCUGACCAGUACUAAUAGAGCGUUUGGCUUAUCUUUAAUAAAGCAU